AAAGGAAAGCUUGCAACAAAGCAAGCCAGUGAAAUGGUCUCAUCAAUGAAGGAAAAGGCUGCCCAAAAGGCAUCCGAGGUAAAGGACAGGGCAACUCAA
rnacentral:snRNA from 1 species